AUUAAUCUGUAAAUGAAAGUGAAAGAUUUAAAACCAGUCACCACGUGAGUAAGGAACACGAAUAAGAUGCUGGAAAAAGAUAUUUUGUAUUGCAAGAGACCCCAGUAGGAAUCAUCUGCUGUGGAUCAGCAUCAAAAUGGAGGAACCUGCUUCUGAAAUGACCCCCCCUGUGGGGUAUAAGGAGAGAGGAGCUGCUUCUGAAAUGACCCCCCCUGUGGAGUGUAAAUCAAAGGGGCCUGAGAGGUGUGAGGAUGGAAACAAUGAGACAGGAUCAAGAAAUGAAAGGGAAAGCAACAGUGUCCUGAUGGAGAGAGCAGACUCACCUGCACCCAGCUGUGUUUCCAUGAAGAGUGACUGGUCAAUGGAGCUCCCAAUCACCUUCAGAGAGGGACCUUUUCAUACAGAUCAGAGGUAAAUGUGUAAACAAACACUGUUUGAAACAAUCAGACUCUCAUUCAAAAUGCAUACAGGCACACAAGCUAUGAGGAAAAUACCGUAAAAUAAAGUACUUUUUUAAC